rnacentral:rRNA from 1 species
UACGUAGGUGGCAAGCGUUGUCCGGAUUUACUGGGCGUAAAGAGCGCGCAGGCGGUCGUGCAAGUCGCGUGUGAAAGCCCCCGGCUCAACUGGGGAGGGUCACGCGAUACUGCUCGACUCGAAGGCAGGAGAGGGAAGUGGAAUUCCCGGUGUAGCGGUGAAAUGCGCAGAUAUCAGGAAGAACACCCGUGGCGAAAGCGGCUCUCUGGAACGGUACUGACGCUGAGACGCGAAAGCGUGGGGAGCGAACAGG